rnacentral:lncRNA from 1 species
UCAGUUGCCAUGUCUGAAUGUUUAUCUUUGUAAUAAUGCUGUUUUCAUGCUCCUCAUCUCAAUAUACAGGUGGAACAAAAUGGAGAACAAGUCUAAGCCAUGUCAGGAAUUCAACAAAAUGUACACCCUGCAGACACUGCGACGAGGUUUACAUCAACUGCUUACCAGGUCACUACAGUCACCCGGAUCGAGUACGUAUUCAGACCAGAUGGUGGAUCGCACCUAGAAAGGACCUCUACAGCCCUGAAAGACAGCGGAGACCAGGACAACUAGAGCCCCAGAUACAGAUCCCCUGUAAAGACCUUGUUUUUUCUCCAUUUUGUCACCGGUGGAGUUUUGGUUCCUUGUCGCCUCUGGCUUGCUUCGUUGUGGUCACUUCAUUUACAGUGAUAUCAUUGACAUGAUUGCAAAUAAUUCCACAGAUACUAUUUAAACUGAACCGAGCUGAAGGAUGACUUCACUGAAUUCAAUGAUAAACUGCCUUUUAAACUGACUACAAACUGAGUUUACUACUGUCCUUCUGCAUUAUUGACUGACACACUAUUUUCCUAUUAAAUACUGUAAAGUUGCUUUGCUUUGAUCUGUAUUAUUAAAAGCACUAUAUAAAUAAACGAUGCUUGACUUGACCAUGUUGCAAGAGGAAAAUGAGGUAAGAUGCACAUCCACCCUGGGUUUUACAGUGAUUGGUGCAAGAUGCUGGAGAAGUAACUCCGUAUACCUCAUCAGUUCUGAUCUAAGAGUCUUGAAAAUACCUCCGGAUUGUUGUUAGUGAUUCUGAUUGAUAUUUUAGUCUGCUUGUUUACUGAAUAUAUUUUCUACGGUUUACAUUGUAAAGCACUGACUUUGACAACUUACUAACCCAGUUACAAAUUUAACAGCUAAUUUAUACUAUAUAUAUAUAUAUAUAUAGUUGUUUCUUGAAAUACUACAAAUAUAACCGCAAAUUAUGAUUUUAAAUAAAGGUCUCUGAGACUUCUCUCUUUUCAGUAAUUUGUGUAUAUAGCCUAUAAUAAAUAAACAACAUACACCCAGUAAGUGCCACUCUCGUAUAUAAAUAUAAAUGGUUUUAUUUCACACAAAC